UACAGAGGGUGCGAGCGUUGUUCGGAAUUAUUGGGCGUAAAGCGCUUGUAGGCGGCACGUCAAGUCGCGUGUGAAAUCCCCAGGCUUAACCUGGGAAGUGCGCGCGAAACUGACGAGCUUGAGUGCCGGAGAGGGUCGCGGAAUUCCCGGUGUAGAGGUGAAAUUCGUAGAUAUCGGGAGGAACACCAGUGGCGAAGGCGGCGACCUGGACGGACACUGACGCUGAGACGCGAAAGCGUGGGAGCAACAGG
rnacentral:rRNA from 1 species